GAGCACGAAGCCGGAUCCAAUGAUUUUAGAGAACAUUUACUAUGUUUAUGGAUCACUACAUGUGAUCUGCUAGAACAAGCUACCGAAGCACCAGAACUGCUCUCUUUGAUGGCAUUGAAGAAGGUGGAAUACGAGCACCAGCUUAUUCUUCACAUGAGAUAGAUGAACAUGAGAAUGAGCGAGCUAUGGAUCGAUUGUAGAGAUCGAGUCAGCAUUCUCAAGAGGGAUUUGUGAGUUCCUAGUAGGGAACACAUGGACACGAAGCUGCUGCGGUGACGACGAUGAUAUCAACAUGGGGCUACGACGGCGACGAUGACGACGACGAGAUCGACAUCGUCAUGGGGCUGCGGCGGCGACGACGACGACGGCAUCCUUACGGUGCUGCGGCAGCGGCGAUGAUGACGACAUCAACACCAUCAAACAUGGUCUUGUGGAGGCGCCGGCGACGAUGACCUAUAGGUGUGGUGUAUAUUGUAUAUAUAUAUAAAUAUGUAUGUAUUAAUUAUCUAUAGUAGAUGUGUAUGAUUGACUAUAUGCAUAAAAUGUGCG